rnacentral:lncRNA from 1 species
GCGAGGAGAGUAAUGAGACCUGAGGGGAGACUCGAAUGGUUUGCCACGACGGAUAGGAUUCUUCGACCCAUUUCGACUAUCCCCGCUUCAUGUAUAAAUGAAUUGGUUUCUGUGGAUAUAGAUUAGUGCGUGAAAGUUAUUGAAAGCUGAGCAAUCGUCAAGGCCAAUGCUCUAAACUUGAAGUUAAAGCCCCGACCAUUAGUAUCCACUCUUAUUUCAAGGUGUAAAGAAUAAUCUAAAUAUGGGAUCCAUAUCCAUGUUAACUGUAGUUGCAUUGGUCGUAACUAUUUAUUACUCAAAGGCCGUGCAUGAGCCCGUGCCGACUUCAACUCCGAGGCGAAACCCCAUUCGUGAAAUAACGCGACACAGAUCCAGGGGCGCCGACCCACUCAACGAUGUGGAAGGAAACCGAAACGCGGUGCUGGCGAGGAUUGGAAAAGGAGAGUUUAGCUCUCAACAGGAAACUUCGGACGACCCUUGCCGGCGGUACCAGAUCGCCAAAUCUAAAGCGGGACUACGACUAAACGAGCCGUUCCCCCGUCCCCGCAGCAGCCGCGACGAGCAGACUCCGUCGCCGGCUAAUAGUGCGGCGAUUCAGGAGUGCGCUACUGGCUUCAACGCCUUCAAUGCCCUCCCCCGGAAUACAAGAUAACAUGUCCAGAAGCCUCCAGUCCAACUUGCAAGCUCUUGGACGGUUGGUAUACCUGCGCUGUAGCCGUGCCCAAGAAGAUUAAAUGUUGUACAUACAACUCGGUAUAUGUCUCCCUGAAGAGGUGCGCGAAUGAAAUCAUUGAAGAGAAGAAACAAAACGAAGCGACUCAGCGGAUGGAGGUGCGAAAGAAGCGGGAGAUGGAAUAUCUUUCUCGAGCUGCCAGUCUUGCAAAAGGUGCGUCACCAUCAACAACGGCACCACCACCACCACCCAACUUUCAAGGAGGAGCGCCUGGGGAAGUGGCGCCCAAGGAAGUGGCGGCCGAGGAAGUGGCGGCCGAGGAAGUGGCGGCCGAGGAGGUGGCACCCAAGGAAGUGGCGGCCGAGGAGGUGGCGCCCAAGGAAGUUUCGGCCAAAGAGGUAGCGGCCAAGGAGGCGGCGGCCAACAAAUUGGUGGCCAACAAAGUGCUACGUUUCCCCCCCGUCAACACCGUAGGACUAAUUCGUUGUGAACGAGGAUGGACAUUUUGCAUCCAAGUUUUUCACAGUGGCCCACGGUAAGAUCCUGCUCGACGCCCUUAACCGGGGGAAAAAUGUCACUAAGAGCCAUCUCCCGUUUCUAAUGGACCUGUUGCAAACUUCAGCUGGAGCAAAAAGAAGAGUCGCUCCUGAGGGGAAAUGACUCAAUAAAUACGAUGAGUGCAUCGGGAAAAUCUGAAAUACACGCCUAACUUCACAAGCACCGUAAGGAAUGUGCGGUUUUAAAGCCGCCCGCUUCAAAAGCGAUACCUCUGCACAAGUGACAUUUCAUAAGAGGAGUCGUUCUGUCCAACCCUUGCGCACUAGGAUGCCACGCAAUGUGCAACAUGGCUGACGCUUCCGCACGCAAAUCGAGCUGGAGCACCAUGCUGCCGUGCUAAGGAAGAACGCCGUAUGAACAUUCGAGAGUUGCCAAAUUUCCCUUGCUAAAACAUGUAUUUUUGAAGAAAUUCAUACACAUUUUCCCCUAAGAUUUUCAGAUAUUUCAGAUGAAAUUGCGUACCACAUUGUCUGAAAAUUUUGGGGAAAAAAUUUCAUAAUUAUAUCAGUAAAUUCGGCUUUUAUCGAAGGAAAUUUGGCAACGUCUGGAGGCUCAUACGGCGUUCCUUAGCACGGAAGCAUGGGUUUAGCAACGCAAAGAAAAUGUAAAGAUUAGGGUGAUUCUAUGGACGCCAUAUUUUGUGGCAGAACGGCAUGCGAUGUAUCGCAUCAAUUGGUUCCAUU